UACGUAGGGUGCAAGCGUUAAUCGGAAUUACUGGGCGUAAAGCGUGCGCAGGCGGUUUUGUAAGUCUGUCGUGAAAUCCCCGGGCUCAACCUGGGAAUUGCGAUGGAGACUGCAAGGCUGGAGUCUGGGCAGAGGGGGGUAGAAUUCCACGUGAUAGCAGUGAAAUGCGCAGACUAUCAGGAGGAACCACCGGUGGCGAAGGCGGCCCUCUGGACGAGUAACUG
rnacentral:rRNA from 1 species